GAUGAAGAACGUAGCGAAAUGCGAUAAGUAAUGUGAAUUGCAGAAUUCAGUGAAUCAUCGAAUCUUUGAACGCACCUUGCGCUCUUUGGUAUUCCGAAGAGCAUGCCUGUUUGAGUGUCAUGAAAAUAUCAACCUUGACUUGGGUUUUGUGCUCUAGUCUCGGCUUGGAAUUGGGUGCUUGCCGCUUUUACGAGCGGCUCACCUUAAAUGUAUUAGCUGGAUCUGUCUUUGAGACUUGGUUUGACUUGGCGUAAUAAGUAUUUCGCUAAGGACAUUCUUCGGAGUGGCCUCGUUUCUAGGACGCUUGUCCGCUUUCCAAUACAAGUUCCACCUCGUGGACAUGACUUUUUAUUAUCUGGCCUCAAAUCAGGUAGGACUACCCGCUGAACUUAAGCAUAUCAAUAAGCGGAG
rnacentral:misc_RNA from 1 species